rnacentral:lncRNA from 10 species
AAAGUAGUAAAUGAACUAUAGCUGUAAAUGGGAAACAGUUUCCUUCUUUACAUGUCAAAAGAUUGAAAUGGCCAUAUUGUCUGCUGUUAUUUUUUCUCUUAGAAUAAAUGUUUCUGGAAGGAGAUGGCAGGAGAUUUCGAUUUGCCUGGACUAAUUUUUGCUAUCAAGCUACAUUUAUUUUUCACCACUUCAGCAAAAGGACUCUUCACUGAUAUCUGCAGUUGUUGAACCCACAGUUGAAGCUCCUGUGGAAAUGCUGAUAUCUUUUCUGGGGCUGCUAUCUCUUGAUGCUCCAGAAGCUACAGCUUAUAAUGUUUCAAACCAUUGCAAUUAUGCCCUUCCAUCCUCCUUACCAUGUCAGUGCUCUGCUGUCUUCCACACAGCCCUAGGGAGGAGUUCUACCCUCUUCUGAACUUUGUGCCUUAUUUUGUCCUCAGCUGUAUCACUAGCUAUUCUUGAGUCCCUAGUAACAAACAAACAGUCUCCUUAAAAAUCUUCAGUAAAUUUAGAUACUCAUUCCAUAAAGGCUCAGAUCUAGUCCAAGAGGUAGCCAUGGGAAAUUGACAUAUUUCUCUUUGCUUAAGUCUUCUCUUUUUAACCAUGUGCAUUUGCCAUCAUUUCCUCAUUCUCCUUUACCCUUCAACAGACAUGCACAUACACUGAACCACGUUUUCACUCAGGUAGCCAAAAAAGCCCACAAGCAACUUGACUCUGCUUGGCCCUCCAGCUUCUUUUCUUGGAAUUCUUCACCUUGAACUCUAUGGCCAAGCAAAGCUGAAAACCCUCUAAUUUCUUUUGCCUUUACACUUACUAUUUCCUUUAUCUGGAACACCCCCUCACCAUACACUGCCACACUCUUCCUACCAUGCUACAGACACAUGCUUGGUCAAAUUUAACGUUUCUUAGAUCACAAAUUAGAUGUCAUUUCCUCCACAAGAUCUUCCCCAACUCCUAAAUAGAUUGGGUCACUCUACAACAUAGUGAUAAUGUCCAACUUUAUCUAUAGACAGGUAUCUAUCCAUCCAUCCAUCCAUCCAUCCAUCCAACCAUCCAUCUGGAGCUAAACCCUGAGAUUAUCAAGCAUUAUUUUAAAAAAGCUUUUUGGAUUUGCAGCUAAAUCAAAGUUUUUUUAUGAUCAGAAAGGACAUAAACUUGUAUGCUCAGACUUUAAAAAUGCUAUAUAACAAAUUACCCAAUGCUAACAGUUUCAUGUAGAGAGUAGAUAAAGCACAAAGCCAAAAUAUAUAUGUGUGUAUACACACACACACACGUAUAUAUGUGUGUGUUAUAUGUAUGUAUGUAUAUACCUGUAUAUAUGUAUACGUGUGUAUAUAUGUAUUGAGAUUUAUAUAUACAUAUGUGUAUAUAUAUAUGAAUCUCAAUAGAGCACUCAUCUAUUGACUUGAUUAAUUUGUCAAACUAUUUUUAAGAGAAUUAAACACUAAAAUGAGUAAUGGAAGAAGUAGAAAGCUAUAUUUUUUCGGCUUGUUCAAGUCCGAAAAAUAAAGAUUUUUUUUAUCUUCUAUUCUUCACUUCAAACCCUUAUGGACUGUUGAGUGCCUGGAACUGUGAAUGGCGUGUUCCUGUGGAGAUGACAUAACUCAGUUUGACCCUCCUCACAUUUACCAAUUUCAUCACGUUUUGGGACAGUCAAUAAAUAAUAGUCGAUUGAUUGAUUUCCUCCUCUCCCUACUCCUUACUCAUCCUUACUCUUUCUAUCCUUUCAUCUCUUUCUACUCUUUCAUCCUUACUCUUUCUAUUGCCUUUGGAUCAAGAGGUCUGGAAAGAAGAAAUUCCCAGCAGUAAUAAAUAUACUUGCAAACAUAACCUCAUAACAAUUAAAAAUAAAGGAAGAGGAAAAGGUAUAAUAAAUUUUAAUAUUAUUGGCAAUAAUUUUCUAUUGCUAAUGAUGAUUUUUAUUACAUUGUCCCUUUGCUUUUUAUUUUUUAGUAUUAAACAUCUGUUAAUUUUCAGGCUUACUUGCAUAUAUGUUGCAAAUUGCUUGCUGAAUAUUUUUAAUUCUGGAAUACUAUUUGGGCUUUGGGCUAAAUGCUAUCGGUUUUCCCACAAUUGUUAGGAAAUUAGGGUAUUGCUCAUGCACACUGACAAUGUGAAAUUUGAAAGCUGACCUCUUCUUUUGGUCUCCUCUCCAGUUCACAGAUUUAUGUGGUUAAUAUCUCAUAUGAAAGAAGGUUAAAAGCACAUAUCAUAAAAACAGUUCUAAAGGGUCAUUUUUAACCCAUUCCUGUUUAUCAUUGACAUCUGGGGGAGUGGAAUGCAGGAAUGAAGAGUGAUUUCUGGGACAAGACUUCCCAAACUUCAUUAUCAGCGCUGCCACUAACUAUAUGCAGCCAUAGGCACGUUAGACAUGUUAGUUACUCAGUCUGCCAAUAUCUUCAUCUAUAAAAUGGCAAUAAUAAUAAUACUUAUCUCAUAAGGUUGUUGUGAGAAUUAAGUGAAUGACUGUAUGUAAAAUUCUUAGAACAGUUAAGAGUAAAACUCAAUGUUGAUAGUAUUAUGUCCUUUGUCCAGCACCUUGCAUUACAGAUGAUUCUCAUUUUCAAAAGUUCAGUUUUUAAGUAACUUGAAAUUCCCUCCGAUUUUAAGUAUAAAACACACUUUUAUACUUAGAAUCCCAAAGAUCAUCUAUCAACUGCCAACCACAUCUCCUGAUAAUGCUGUCUUUCCUAUAAUGGUUUAAUUUCAGCACCCUUACCAUCGUUAAAGUUUGUGGGGUUUUUUUUGUAUACUUUCAUUUCUGUGUAUAAUUAUCUGUAUAACAUUUCACUUUAAUGUUUAAAAGAUAAUAGGGUAGAAAAUAGAGAUGAUAAGAAAAACAUUCUCAUAGUAAUAUAAUUAGGAAGAAUUAAAAAAAUCACUAAAGAGACUAAAAUUGGCUUAUCUUUAGCCUCCACUGGACACUCAUUGAACUUUAGCUGGAUGACUAUGUAUUCAUUAGAACAAAAUUUAAGUACAUGGAGAAAAGCUGUAAAUAUAUAACUGUACAUGAGGUUUAAAGGUAAAACAAAAUUAAAUAUUUUGUGUUACUCUUAAGUUAUCUAUAAUUGAAUCUCACUUAUAACAUGGAAAUCUAUCAUUCACAUUUUUAAAAUUUUACUUUUGCCUCUUAGAAAUACCUUACAAAUGAAAAUCAGGGACACCUUGUGUCCUAUAUUUGUGUAUAGGUAUGCAUAUUCCAUUAGAUUAUCAGCUAUUUAAAGUUACAGGAGGAAAGACAAAUUUUCUCUUGAUCACUUUCUAGCUUAUUGCAUACAUAAUAUACACUGUGUAUACAACUCACUCUCUAUGUAGUUGAAAAGAAUAAAGUUUCCUUGUUUCUCUAAACAAUCUUUUAUUGAAUAGAAA